rnacentral:piRNA from 2 species
UCAAAGCUGUGGACAAGAAGGCUGCUGG